rnacentral:rRNA from 1 species
UGGCGACCGGCGCACGGGUGCGUAACGCGUAUGCAACCUACCCAUAACAGGGGGAUAACACUGAGAAAUUGGUACUAAUACCCCAUAACAUCAGGACCGGCAUCGGUUCUGGUUGAAAACUCCGGUGGUUAUGGAUGGGCAUGCGUUGUAUUAGCUGGUUGGUGAGGUAACGGCUCACCAGGCAACGAUACAUAGGGGGACUGAGAGGUUAACCCCCCACAUUGGUACUGAGACACGGACCAA